AUUGAACGCUGGCGGCAUGCCUAACACCUGCAAGUCGAGCGGAGCGGCGGACGGGUGAGUAAUGCCUAGGUAUCUGCCCGGUAGUGGGGGCUAACGUCAGGAAACGGGCGCUAAUACAGCAUACUAUCAGCUGAGCCUAGGUCGGAUUAGCUAGUUGGUUGGGUAAAGGCCUACCAUGGCGACGACCCGUAACUGGUCUGAGAGGAUGAUCAGUCACACUGGAACUGAGACACGGUCCAGACUCCUACGGGAGGCAGCAGUGGGGAAUAUUGGACAAUGGGCGAAAGCCUGAUCCAGCCAUGCCGCGUGUGUGAAGAAGGUCUUCGGAUUGUAAAGCACUUUAAGUUGGGAGGCGUUACCAACAGAAUAAGCACCGGCUAACUUCGUGCCAGCCGCCGCGGUAAUAC
rnacentral:rRNA from 1 species